rnacentral:rRNA from 1 species
GAUGAACGCUGGCGGCGUGCCUAAUACAUGCCAGUCGAGCGAACAGACGAGGAGCUUGCUCCUCUGACGUUAGCGGCGGACGGGUGAGUAACACGUGGAUAACCUACCUAUAAGACUGGGAUAACUUCGGGAAACCGGAGCUAAUACCGGAUAAUAUAUUGAACCGCAUGGUUCAAUAGUGAAAGACGGUUUUGCUGUCACUUAUAGAUGGAUCCGCGCCGCAUUAGCUAGUUGGUAAGGUAACGGCUUCCCAAGGCAACGAUGCGUAGCCGACCUGAGAGGGUGAUCGGCCACACUAGAACUGAGACACGGUCCAGACUCCUACGGGAGGCAGCAGUAGGGAAUCUUCCGCAAUGGGCGAAAGCCUGACGGAGCAACGCCGCGUGAGUGAUGAAGGUCUUCGGAUCGUAAAACUCUGUUAUUAGGGAAGAACAAAUGUGUAAGUAACUAUGCACGUCUUGACGGUACCUAAUCAGAAAGCCACGGCUAACUACGUG